CGCUGGCGGCAGGCUUAACACAUGCAAGUCGAGCGGAGUGAUGGUGCUUGCACUAUCACUUAGCGGCGGACGGGUGAGUAAUGCUUAGGAAUCUGCCUAUUAGUGGGGGACAACAUUUCGAAAGGAAUGCUAAUACCGCAUACGUCCUACGGGAGAAAGCAGGGGAUCUUCGGACCUUGCGCUAAUAGAUGAGCCUAAGUCGGAUUAGCUAGUUGGUGGGGUAAAGGCCUACCAAGGCGACGAUCUGUAGCGGGUCUGAGGGGAUGAUCCGCCACACUGGGACUGAGACACGGCCCAGACUCCUACGGGAGGCAGCAGUGGGGAAUAUUGGACAAUGGGCGCAAGCCUGAUCCAGCCAUGCCGCGUGUGUGAAGAAGGCCUUAUGGUUGUAAAGCACUUUAAGCGAGGAGGAGGCUACUGAAGUUAAUACCUUCAGAUAGUGGACGUUACUCGCAGAAUAAGCACCGGCU
rnacentral:rRNA from 1 species